rnacentral:rRNA from 1 species
GAUCAUGGCUCAGGAUGAACGCUGGCGGCGUGCUUAACACAUGCAAGUCGAACGAAGCAACUAUCUUGCUGCAAGAGAGUUGACUUAGUGGCGGACGGGUGAGUAACGCGUGGGUAACCUGCCUCAUACAGGGGGAUAACAGUUGGAAACGACUGCUAAGACCGCAUAACCCGCUAGUGUCGCAUGACACGGACGGAAAAUAUUUAUAGGUAUGAGAUGGGCCCGCGUCUGAUUAGCUAGUUGGUAAGGUAACGGCUUACCAAGGCGACGAUCAGUAGCCGACUUGAGAGAGUGAUCGGCCACAUUGGGACUGAGACACGGCCCAAACUCCUACGGGAGGCAGCAGUGGGGAAUAUUGGACAAUGGGGGAAACCCUGAUCCAGCCGACGCCGCGUGAGUGAAGAAGUAUUUCGGUAUGUAAAGCUCUAUCAGCAGGGAAGAUAAUGACAGUACCUGACUAAGAAGCCCCGGCUAACUACGUGCCAGCCGCCGC